GGAUUCAACUGUCUUCUUAUUAAUAACUCAGAGUACAUCACAGAUACAACCAAGGUAGUUCCGCUACGGACUACAAAACAUGGAAAUGCUAUGCUACCCUGCCUGCAGGCCCACGAUCACGACCACGCCUCAGUCCUCUGGAUAGUUCACGUAGAGGCGGUCUGUCUCCUCGUCGUACUGCCACACCAGCUGGGUGCCGUCGGGAUCAUCUGUCUCUGGAGUACCUGUACCUGUUGGGAGUUUCAGAGGAAUCCGUGAGCCACGGGGACUCAGCAAUCUAAGACCUUGGUGCCAGAACUAGUCAUGUUAUUAGGUAGGGUAAGGGUGAGGUGUAUCAGGCUGCAGCAUCCUGAGCUUGAUUAAGUGGCUAACUUACGCAAAGUAGAAGUGAAGGUGGUCUACGCUAGCGGUCGGGAUUACUUGAUCACUAAGUGAUCCUGAACACCUACCUACGACAUUCAUAACCCCACCGUGUUCCCGAUCGAAGAGAGAUCUUCGAAGGGACAGCCACGGUUACACACAUAGUUGGCAGUUUUAUUGGUUUAUGUUUAAGUUCUCUAAUACCGGAUGUUAACAAAAUAUUCCAAGUUGCCACAUAACCGCGGGCACGGCUUUCCGAAAGAUUAAACCAUGCAGGGGUGCUCCAACUAGUCCAUCACAAACGAACACAGGCCACAAAGGCAUCCUCUAUCACGAAUCUCGUGAUCUCGUCGAAUUCCUUAGAGGAAAACCUCAACUCCGGGGAAACCAAAGCUUCACUGGGAUUCCUAUAUGCAAGAUAUACCGCUAAGGUAAGACAAGGCUAGCAGGACCUCCCGACGUGUCGACGACCCUGAUAAGAGCCGCGUAUCUCAGUCUCAGGACACGCCGGAUGAGCGAUGGUUACCACGCCAAAACACCGAGUUGCCCCGGGGAGCAUAAUAAGCUGCUCUGGGUUGGACCAACACUCAUGAGGAGCACUGGCCCGGGUUGUUGAUUAAAGUCCUCGGGGUAGCUACUCCCUAUGCAGAUUAUUAUUAAGUUAUUAGCAAAUUAACACCAAUGUUGGGUCCUGCCGGACAAGCUUAGCACUACGUGAUUUCUCAAGGGGGUCCCCAUAACAACCCCGAACGUGUUAGGAGCGAUCAUUAUGGAAUCAAACACCGGUAACCGGUAACUAAGGCGGCAAUAACGGAACAAAGCACCCGGCAAAAGGCUAGGCCUCCCGUCAUUUACCAAGUAUAUAGGUGCAUCAAUUAAGUAACAGAAUUUAAUAUAAUGAUAUCAAGCUCAUGUUAUCACAUGAGUCAAAGCACAUGCAUCUAGCAACACUAACAUUAGUAGCUGAGCAAAGCCUACUUAGCCAUACAAGUUUUGCUAGGAAGGGGAACAGUGUUUGGGUUCAUGGCAUAUCAAGAGGCAAUUUAAUUCAGUGGUAGGCAGCGAGCAAUAUGACAUGGAAACGAAACUAGCAUAACAAGUCUAGAGAUGGAAUCAAGGUCAUAUCAUCUUGCCUGUGAUAUCCUCAGCUUGGAAUGGUUCUGGUUCGUCCUGCACGUACUCUCCCGACUCCACGUAUUCGUUCUCCGAUCCCGGUGCU
rnacentral:lncRNA from 1 species